AACAUAUUUAUCUGCAAUUUAUCCAAAUCUCUUCGUAGUAUCUUUACCCUAAAACUCCCACCACUCCCCACACAUCUCCUGAUCUUCACUUUCUUCCAUUUGCAGGAAUUCCACCCUAACCAUCCUCCUCACUCUCCUACCUGCUUCAAUAUGGGGAAGAUUUACAGAUGAGUAUAAAAUGGGAAUAAAGUAGGCAAAGCCACGGUGGAAUUUAGGAAAGCUUACAAUUUGAUAAGGAGUAGCCCAGAUAAGGCCUGAAUGGUGAAUUGUGGUCUGAUUGCAAAGGUUCUGGCUGGAGGGCUGGAUUUCAUACCUCUGGAAUCAGGCAUGUGUUAGAUAGAUUAUACCAACAGUAGUAUUUAGGGCUAAUUGACUAGAACAGAAACUGGAGACUUGAGAGUAGUUAUGAAAAAAAUCAAAAUACAUUAAUACACAUGACAUUAUAAGAACUUGGCUUUUGGCAGUGAAAGUGGAAGUGGAUCAGAAAAGAAGGAAUGAAAAAAGAAAAAAGAGAUCCUAUGCUAGAAACAUGUAACUUUCCCCCUCAAUCUCAUAAAUCUCAAAUGCAGCAUGUUCACCCCAUAAAAUGCUAGGUAUCUGCUUGUGUUAGUCCCAUACACUUAUACUAUUCUCUCACUGAUGUUAUCAUGACAGUUCAGUGGUCAUCAGCUAAGGACAAUAAAAUUUACUUAAGAAGACUAAUGCUGCAAACAUCAUUCUUGUUAGAGAAACCUCCCUACCUCCACUCUGACCCACAUGAACGGGAAGCAUGGACCAGGACAUUAAUGAACUAACAUUUUGCCACAACAUCUAGAUAACAUGAACGUUGGAUUUAUCCAACGUUAGGUGGCUACCGUGAAUCAGAGGCUGCAGGGAGGCACCCAGGCGGCAUUAGGUUGGGGCAACAGCAGAAAUAGCAAACUAGGGCCAUAUGGUUCUGGAAGCAUUCCUACCAAAAUUCUUCAGAUAGUAAAUGGAAUGGAGAAACCAAAUGUUAGAAAAAAUUAGAAAGAAAUCAAAAUAGGGAGAGAAUACCAUAAUGAUCCUUUAUGAUUAAGGAAAUAUUACUAUGAGUUGUAUUUACUUUGUGUAAACUGAACUGUGAUGACAUUAUAUAGCACUGUAGAAUAGAAACAAAGUUUAAGGAGCUCUCAAGGUCAUUCGGUCCAACUUCUCACUUUUACAGAUAUGUUGUAUAUAGAAUCUCUAAUAUGUGACUAGCUGGCAUCGGCCUCAGUCAUCUCAAUCACAGCAAUUUUUUCUGUCAAUGAAAACUACAAAGGCAUUUCAUUUGGAGUAUCUUAAUUCUGAAGGUACCUUCAACUACAUCCCUUUCACCUUUACUCAUUCAUAGUUCUGUUUACAGGAGGCAACUAUCUAUUCUAUUUCCUUAUGACAAUUUCAAAUAUUUGUAGUUUUGUGUGUUUUUCUCCUGUUGUCGUUACGAUAAAAUCCAAACUCCAGACUGGCAAAAGCCUCUAAAAUGUGAUACUUAGACUCAAAUACAGUAUCCCAGAAAUCAUCUAAUCAAUAAAAGAAUGAACAUAUAAACUUCCAUGUUUGGGAAAUUUAUAUUUCUUUUAAGACAGCCUAGUGUGCCUUACCC
rnacentral:lncRNA from 10 species